ACGGGUGAGUAAUGCCUAGGAAUCUGCCUGGUAGUGGGGGAUAACGUUCCGAAAGGAACGCUAAUACCGCAUACGUCCUACGGGAGAAAGCAGGGGACCUUCGGGCCUUGCGCUAUCAGAUGAGCCUAGGUCGGAUUAGCUAGUUGGUGAGGUAAUGGCUCACCAAGGCGACGAUCCGUAACUGGUCUGAGAGGAUGAUCAGUCACACUGGAACUGAGACACGGUCCAGACUCCUACGGGAGGCAGCAGUGGGGAAUAUUGGACAAUGGGCGAAAGCCUGAUCCAGCCAUGCCGCGUGUGUGAAGAAGGUCUUCGGAUUGUAAAGCACUUUAAGUUGGGAGGAAGGGCAGUAAGCUAAUACCUUGCUGUUUUGACGUUACCGACAGAAUAAGCACCGGCUAACUUCGUGCCAGCAGCCGCGGUAAUACGAAGGGUGCAAGCGUUAAUCGGAAUUACUGGGCGUAAAGCGCGCGUAGGUGGUUCGUUAAGUUGGAUGUGAAA
rnacentral:rRNA from 1 species